rnacentral:rRNA from 1 species
AGAGUUUGAUCCUGGCUCAGGACGAACGCUGGCGGCGCGCCUAACACAUGCAAGUCGAACGGAGCUUAGAGAGCUUGCUUUUUAAGCUUAGUGGCGAACGGGUGAGUAACGCGUGAGUAACCUGCCCUAGAGUGGGGGACAACAGUUGGAAACGACUGCUAAUACCGCAUAAGCCCACGGUACCGCAUGGUACUGAGGGAAAAGGAUUUAUUCGCUUUAGGAUGGACUCGCGUCCAAUUAGCUAGUUGGUGAGGUAACGGCCCACCAAGGCGACGAUUGGUAGCCGGACUGAGAGGUUGAACGGCCACAUUGGGACUGAGACACGGCCCAGACUCCUACGGGAGGCAGCAGUGGGGGAUAUUGCACAAUGGGGGAAACCCUGAUGCAGCGACGCCGCGUGGAGGAAGAAGGUUUUCGGAUUGUAAACUCCUGUCGUUAGGGACGAUAAUGACGGUACCUAACAAGAAAGCACCGGCUAACUACGUGCCAGCAGCCGCGGUAAAACGUAGGGUGCAAGCGUUGUCCGGAAUUACUGGGUGUAAAGGGAGCGCAGGCGGGAAGACAAGUUGGAAGUGAAAACCAUGGGCUCAACCCAUGAAUUGCUUUCAAAACUGUUUUUCUUGAGUAGUGCAGAGGUAGAUGGAAUUCCCGGUGUAGCGGUGGAAUGCGUAGAUAUCGGGAGGAACACCAGUGGCGAAGGCGGCCUACUGGGCACUAACUGACGCUGAGGCUCGAAAGCAUGGGUAGCAAACAGGAUUAGAUACCCUGGUAGUCCAUGCCGUAAACGAUGAUUACUAGGUGUUGGGGGAUUGACCCCCUCAGUGCCGCAGUUAACACAAUAAGUAAUCCACCUGGGGAGUACGACCGCAAGGUUGAAACUCAAAGGAAUUGACGGGGGCCCGCACAAGCAGUGGAGUAU